CAAUAGCGUAUAUUUAAGUUGUUGCAGUUAAAAAGCUCGUAGUUGAAUUUCGGGUGGGACGCAGCGGUCUCGCAUUGCGUUUGUACUGCUGCAGCCCUCCUUCUUGCCGGGGGCGGCCUCUCGGACUUCACUGUCUGGGGGUCAGAAUCGGCGAUGUUACUUUGAGUAAAUUAGAGUGUUCAAAGCAAGCUUACGCUCUGAAUAUAAUAGCAUGGGAUAACACGACAGGACUCUGGCCUAUCGUGUUGGUCUAUAGGACCAGAGUAAUGAUUAAGAGGGACAGUCGGGGGCAUUCGUAUUCCGUUGUCAGAGGUGAAAUUCUUGGAUUUACGGAAGACGAACAUCUGCGAAAGCAUUUGCCAAGGAUGUUUNCAUUGA
rnacentral:rRNA from 1 species